rnacentral:rRNA from 1 species
GCACAAGCGGUGGAGUAUGUGGUUUAAUUCGAUGCAACGCGAAGAACCUUACCUGGGUUGGAAACCCCUGGAAUCCUGCAGAGAUGUGGGAGUGCUCUUUAGAGAAUCAGGUGUCCAGGUGCUGCAUGGUUGUCGUCAGCUCGUGUCGUGAGAUGUUGGGUUAAGUCCCGCAACGAGCGCAACCCUCGCUGUGUGUUACAAGUGUCACACAGGACCGCCGGUCUUAAGCCGGAGGAAGGUGGGGAUGACGUCAAGUCAGCAUGGCCUUUAUGUCCAGGGCUACACACACGCUACAAUGGUCAGCACAAUAGGUAGCCAAGCCGCGAGGUGGAGCCAAUCCUCAAAGCUGGCCUCAGUUCAGAUCGCAGGCUGCAACCCGCCUGCAUGAAGUUGGAGUUGCUAGUAAACGCAGGUCAGCCAUACUGCGUUGAAUACGUUCCCGGGGCUU